rnacentral:rRNA from 1 species
CCUAGAGGGGGACAACAGUUGGAAACGACUGCUAAUACCGCAUACGAUCUAAUCUCGGCAUCGAGGAUAGAUGAAAGGUGGCCUCUACAUGUAAGCUAUCACUGAAGGAGGGGAUUGCGUCUGAUUAGCUAGUUGGAGGGGUAACGGCCCACCAAGGCGAUGAUCAGUAGCCGGUCUGAGAGGAUGAACGGCCACAUUGGGACUGAGGCACGGCCCAG